rnacentral:tRNA from 1 species
GUAGAAAUAGUUUUAAUGAAAACAUUAGACUGUGACUCUAAAGAUAGAGAGUAAAAUCUUUUUUCCACC